rnacentral:rRNA from 1 species
CCCGAAAGAUCGAACGGGGAGAUUCAUCGUCAGCGGCUACGGCUUCGCCGGGGCUCGUGAUGCCGUGUACCUCGGUACACGGUACACGGUCUCGCGCGCAUGCCCGGAGUCGUCGGCGUGCACUUCUCCCCCAGUAGGACGUCGCGACCCGUUGGGCGUCGGCGUAAGGCCCGUAUGGUUGCCUGUCUCGGCGUUCGCGUCGGGACAGACCUUCGGUUGCCCGGCCGGCUGCUCGGCGGUACUCGCACGGUAUCGAGCCGCAUCGAAUAUGCGUCCAGCCCGUCGCAAGCGCGGUCAGCGAUUCCCGGUGGUCGGACCUAGUACCGUCCCCGGGCCUGGCCAGCUGUUGGCAGACGGUGUCCUCGGACCGGCUCGCUCGAUUUUUACCGGUCGGCGACGCUAUUGCUUUGGGUACUUUCA